UACGUAGGGGGCAAGCGUUGUCCGGAUUCAUUGGGCGUAAAGAGCGUGUAGGCGGCCAGGUAGGUCGGUUGUGAAAACUGGAGGCUCAACCUUCAGAGGUCGACCGAAACCAUCUGGCUAGAGUCCGGGAGAGGAGAGUGGAAUUCCUGGUGUAGCGGUGAAAUGCGCAGAUAUCAGGAAGAACACCCGUGGCGAAGGCGGCAUCCUGGACCGAUAUUGACGCUGAGGCGCGAAAGCCAGGGGAGCAAACGGG
rnacentral:rRNA from 1 species